AUUGAACGCUGGCGGCAUGCCUUACACACGCAAGUCGAACGGCAGCACGGGGCAACCUGGUGGCGAGUGGCGAACGGGUGAGUAAUGCAUCGGAACGUACCUUUCAGUGGGGGAUAACGUAGCGAAAGUUACGCUAAUACCGCAUAUUCUGUGAGCAGGAAAGCAGGGGAUCGCAAGACCUUGCGCUGAUUGAGCGGCCGAUGUCAGAUUAGCUAGUUGGUGAGGUAAAGGCUCACCAAGGCGACGAUCUGUAGCGGGUCUGAGAGGAUGAUCCGCCACACUGGAACUGAGACACGGUCCAGACUCCUACGGGAGGCAGCAGUGGGGAAUUUUGGACAAUGGGGGCAACCCUGAUCCAGCCAUGCCGCGUGAGUGAAGAAGGCCUUCGGGUUGUAAAGCUCUUUCGGCCGGGAAGAAAUCGCACGGGCUAAUACCCUGUGUGGAUGACGGUACCGGAGUAAGAAGCACCGGCUAACUACGUGCCAGCCGCCGCGGUAACAC
rnacentral:rRNA from 1 species